rnacentral:tRNA from 1 species
AGAAACUUAGGUUAGCCCUAAACCAGAAGCCUUCAAAGCCUCAAACAGGAGUCACAUUCUUAGUUUCUG